GACGAACGCUGGCGGCGUGCUUAACACAUGCAAGUCGAACGAGAAGAGAUGAGAAGCUUGCUUCUUAUUAAUUCGAGUGGCAAACGGGUGAGUAACGCGUAAGCAACCUGCCCUUCAGAUGGGGACAACAACUGGAAACGGCUGCUAAUACCGAAUACGUUCUUUUGUCGCAUGGCAGAGAGAAGAAAGGGAGGCUCUUCGGAGCUUUCGCUGAAGGAGGGGCUUGCGUCUGAUUAGCUAGUUGGAGGGUAACGGCCACCAAGGCGACGAUCAGUAGCCGGUCUGAGAGGAUGAACGGCCACAUUGGGACUGAGACACGGCCCAAA
rnacentral:rRNA from 1 species